rnacentral:rRNA from 1 species
GCCCGCUCAGAAACUCAAAGGAAUUGACGGGGCCCGCACAAGCGGAGGAGCAUGUGGUUUAAUUCGAUGAUACGCGAGGAACCUUACCUGGGCUCGAACGUAAGAUGACUGUAGGUGAAAGCUUACAUCUCUUCGGAGCAUUUUACGAGGUGCUGCAUGGUUGUCGUCAGCUCGUGCCGUGAGGUGUCGGGUUAAGUCCCAUAACGAGCGCAACCCUACCUUUAGUUGCCAUCAGGUUAAGCUGGGGACUCUAAAGGAACUGCCUACGCAAGUAGUGAGGAAGGCGGGGAUGACGUCAAAUCAGCACGGCCCUUACGUCCAGGGCUACACACGUGCUACAAUGGCCGAUACAGAGGGCAGCUACCUGGUGACAGGAUGCAAAUCUCCAAAGUCGGUCUCAGCUCGGAUCGGAGUCUGCAACCCGACUCCGUGAAGUUGGAUUCGCUAAUAAUCGCGCAUCAGCCAUGGCGCGGUGAAUACGUUCCCGGGCCUU